rnacentral:rRNA from 3 species
GGUUAAGCGACUAAGCGUACACGGUGGAUGCCCUGGCAGUCAGAGGCGAUGAAGGGCGUGCUAAUCUGCGAUAAGCGCCGGUAAGGUGAUAUGAACCGUUAUAACCGGCGAUACCCGAAUGGGGAAACCCAGUGUGACUCGUCACACUAUCAUUAACUGAAUCCAUAGGUUAAUGAGGCGAACCGGGGGAACUGAAACAUCUAAGUACCCCGAGGAAAAGAAAUCAACCGAGAUUCCCCCAGUAGCGGCGAGCGAACGGGGAGGAGCCCAGAGCCUGAAUCAGCAUGUGUGUUAGUGGAAGCGUCUGGAAAGGCGCGCGAUACAGGGUGACAGCCCCGUACACAAAAGCGCAUGUGCUGUGAGCUCGAUGAGUAGGGCGGGACACGUGGUAUCCUGUCUGAAUAUGGGGGGACCAUCCUCCAAGGCUAAAUACUCCUGACUGACCGAUAGUGAACCAGUACCGUGAGGGAAAGGCGAAAAGAACCCCGGCGAGGGGAGUGAAAAAGAACCUGAAACCGUGUACGUACAAGCAGUGGGAGCACCCUUUGGGUGUGACUGCGUACCUUUUGUAUAAUGGGUCAGCGACUUAUAUUCUGUAGCAAGGUUAACCGAAUAGGGGAGCCGGAGGGAAACCGAGUCUUAACCGGGCGUUAAGUUGCAGGGUAUAGACCCGAAACCCGGUGAUCUAGCCAUGGGCAGGUUGAAGGUUGGGUAACACUAACUGGAGGACCGAACCGACUAAUGUUGAAAAAUUAGCGGAUGACCUGUGGCUGGGGGUGAAAGGCCAAUCAAACCGGGAGAUAGCUGGUUCUCCCCGAAAGCUAUUUAGGUAGCGCCUCGUGAAUUCAUCUCCGGGGGUAGAGCACUGUUUCGGCUAGGGGGCCAUCCCGGCUUACCAACCCGAUGCAAACUGCGAAUACCGGAGAAUGUUAUCACGGGAGACACACGGCGGGUGCUAACGUCCGUCGUGAAGAGGGAAACAACCCAGACCGCCAGCUAAGGUCCCAAAGUCAUGGUUAAGUGGGAAACGAUGUGGGAAGGCCCAGACAGCCAGGAUGUUGGCUUAGAAGCAGCCAUCAUUUAAAGAAAGCGUAAUAGCUCACUGGUCGAGUCGGCCUGCGCGGAAGAUGUAACGGGGCUAAACCAUGCACCGAAGCUGCGGCAGCGACACUGUGUGUUGUUGGGUAGGGGAGCGUUCUGUAAGCCUGUGAAGGUGUGUCGUGAGGCAUGCUGGAGGUAUCAGAAGUGCGAAUGCUGACAUAAGUAACGAUAAAGCGGGUGAAAAGCCCGCUCGCCGGAAGACCAAGGGUUCCUGUCCAACGUUAAUCGGGGCAGGGUGAGUCGACCCCUAAGGCGAGGCCGAAAGGCGUAGUCGAUGGGAAACGGGUUAAUAUUCCCGUACUUGGUGUUACUGCGAAGGGGGGACGGAGAAGGCUAUGUUGGCCGGG